GGGAAUGGGGGAGAUACACAAACAUUCAAACCACAGCACUCAAUUAAUUAAUUAUGUCAAGUUAUCAUAGUUACUUGACUCAGGUGUUUUUGGGACUGCAGGCAGGGAGGAAGCAAGGCUUAGAAGAGUCAUCUACCACUCUCAAAAAUAAUACUGCUCGUCAGGAAGAGGAAAGUUCUUCUGGGAAGCAUCUGGCUAAUCUUUUUGGAAAGGUUCUGAGGAAAUUCUUAAAGAGGACCUAUUAUGCAAUCCUGGCUACAAUGCUGUAGACGUUCCUGUAAGGGUUCCUGUGGUUUCUAAUGUACAAAGAUGGACAAUUCCUCAGAUGGCCUCAGGAGAAUGCUUUUAGAUCUGCACUGGGCAGAACCCUGGGAUUAAUUAACAAGGCUCUGUGCCAUCUUGGUAAAGAUGGUCCCCCAGGGGACAAGAAGGAAAAACUUCAGCUGCUCUCAAGUCAUUGCCUACGGAGAAAAAGCCAUUGGUUCUACCUUCCCUUCUAAUUUCUAAUUUCUAAUUUAAUUUCGACUUAAAACUCAAACCCUUUGCUGGUGCCUGACUAACUCUCCUAAAUGAAAGAGGAACAAAUGUUGGACAGUAAGGAAGCCUUCUGGUCCCAAGGCCUCAGAAUGGAUUAGGCAUUGGUUAGCCAUUCCUGGGCCAUGGCACGUGGGGGGCCUGGAGACCAGUACUACUGCAGGGGCAGGACCCUGUGGGCAUCAGGAUGCCACCCCCUCACCCUCACUCCAGGACCACCACUCUCUCCAUCAGUUUUUCUUUUCAAUCAAAGAAUAAAUGGCUAUUUUACCCAUCU
rnacentral:lncRNA from 10 species